AUCGCUUCUCGGCCUUUUGGCUAAGAUCAAGUGUAGUAUCUGACCACCCAGCUAAAUCCACAUGAUGUGAAGGCUGUAACACCAAAGAAACUGUAAACUCUU
rnacentral:snRNA from 1 species